CAUACGCUCCCUUGCCCACCCACCUUGAUUUAUAACAAACAGAAGCUUCAGUAGUACUUCUUAAUCUUUUAGAUUGCUGGUAGUGGUAUAUUUACUGCUGUUUAGUCCACUGGGAAGAAUGAACGUUUAAAAAUUUCUAUUUACACUUACAACUGGAAUCAGCCUGCUUUCCUAAAACCCCUUGGGACAGGGAUUUUACACCUGUCAAGGAGCUCAUUGACUGCUAAAGAAUGGAGAUGAAGUCGGAGGAAGUCUGAAAGAUGAAGUCUUUCUACUGCAAAUGCUCAGCCUUUGAAAGGCAUGAAAAGAGAAGCAUCUUUUGAUAACCAACCUCCUCCAUUUUCUGGAUGCAAUUUCAUUUCCUUACAGAAUCUAAAUAAGAGUAAGUGAAGAGAUAGGAAAAAGGCAAUUCUGGUGAAAAAGGGACAACCAAAUAAACAACUAUAAAAAUAAGAAUGGAGGAAGCAGGAAUAGGAGUCUAUAGCAAGAUUCGGAAAACCUGAAAUAUGAGCCAUCUACCAAAACAUUUAAAAACAAUCCCUUGAAGGCCACAUUGAACAGCAGUAAACCAAUGUUGUUCUGGAGAAAU